rnacentral:RNase_MRP_RNA from 1 species
UUGUGACGGGAAGGAGAGCACUCGCAGUCACUCACCGACCCCUGUGGUCGUUAUCCCUUCUCUGUGAGCGAAAGUCCCUGGACCGUUGGCCGAAAGGGCCCUCCCUUUCACGAAGGGAGACCCAUUGAGGGAAAUCGUCGAAGCAAAGUGACGCUCUUCUCCCAUUAUAAUGAUGGAACAGCAUAGGGCUUACUCUCGUGUCACA